GAUGAACGCUGGCGGCGUGCCUAAUACAUGCAAGUCGAGCGAACAGACGAGGAGCUUGCUUCUCUGACGUUAGCGGCGGACGGGUGAGUAACACGUGGAUAACCUACCUAUAAGACUGGGAUAACUUCGGGAAACCGGAGCUAAUACCGGAUAAUAUAUUGAACCGCAUGGUUCAAUAGUGAAAGACGGUUUUGCUGUCACUUAUAGAUGGAUCCGCGCCGCAUUAGCUAGUUGGUAAGGUAACGGCUUACCAAGGCAACGAUGCGUAGCCGACCUGAGAGGGUGAUCGGCCACACUGGAACUGAGACACGGUCCAGACUCCUACGGGAGGCAGCAGUAGGGAAUCUUCCGCAAAGGGCGAAAGCCUGACGGAGCAACGCCGCGUGAGUGAUGAAGGUCUUCGGAUCGUAAAACUCUGUUAUUAGGGAAGAACAAAUGUGUAAGUAACUAUGCACGUCUUGACGGUACCUAAUCAGAAAGCCACGGCUAACUACGUG
rnacentral:rRNA from 1 species